rnacentral:rRNA from 1 species
UUCGGGAGGGCGCUUACCACUUUGUGAUUCAUGACUGGGGUGAAGUCGUAACAAGGUAACCGUAGGGGAACCUGCGGUUGGAUCACCUCCUUACCUAAAGA